GGCCCCGUGGUGUAGUGGCCUAACAUGCCACCCUGUCAAGGUGGAGAUCGUCGGUUCGAAUCCGAUCGGGGUCGCCA
rnacentral:tRNA from 1 species